rnacentral:rRNA from 1 species
UGAGUAACCUGCCCUUAACUCUGGGAUAAGCCUGGGAAACUGGGUCUAAUACCGGAUAUGACUCCUCAUCGCAUGGUGGGGGGUGGAAAGCUUUAUUGUGGUUUUGGAUGGACUCGCGGCCUAUCAGCUUGUUGGUGAGGUAAUGGCUAACCAAGGCGACGACGGGUAGCCGGCCUGAGAGGGUGCCCGGCCACACUGGGACUGAGACACGGCCCAGACUCCUACGGGAGGCAG